AUUGAACGCUGGCGGCAUGCCUUACACAUGCAAGUCGAACGGUAACGCGGGGCAACCUGGCGACGAGUGGCGAACGGGUGAGUAAUAUAUCGGAACGUGCCCAGUAGUGGGGGAUAGCCCGGCGAAAGCCGGAUUAAUACCGCAUGAGACCUGAGGGUGAAAGCGGGGGAUCGCAAGACCUCGCGCUAUUGGAGCGGCCGAUAUCAGAUUAGCUAGUUGGUGGGGUAAAGGCCUACCAAGGCAACGAUCUGUAGUUGGUCUGAGAGGACGACCAGCCACACUGGGACUGAGACACGGCCCAGACUCCUACGGGAGGCAGCAGUGGGGAAUUUUGGACAAUGGGCGCAAGCCUGAUCCAGCAAUGCCGCGUGCAGGAAGAAGGCCUUCGGGUUGUAAACUGCUUUUGUCAGGGAAGAAAUCUUCUGGGUUAAUACCUCGGGAGGAUGACGGUACCUGAAGAAUAAGCACCGGCUAACUACGUGCCAGCCGCCGCCGUAACAC
rnacentral:rRNA from 1 species